ensembl:snRNA U2 U2 spliceosomal RNA
AUCACUGUCCAACUGUGCUUUCCCAUAAGGUCAAGGGUCAGGUCUUCUUAUCAUUUUAACACACGGCACAUCGUCCAUCCAAGGACAAUAUUGUAAAUGGAUUAUGGGAGCUGGGAGAUGGAAUGGGAGCUUGCUCUGUCCAUUCCACACAUUGACCUGGUAUUGCAGUAGCUCCAGGAAUGGUGCACCCACU